AUUGAACGCUGGCGGCAUGCCUUACACAUGCAAGUCGAACGGCAGCGGACCUUCGGGUGCCGGCGAGUGGCGAACGGGUGAGUAAUAUAUCGGAACGUACCUUUCAGUGGGGGAGUAACGUAGCGAAAGUUACGCUGAUACCGCAUAUUCUGUGAGCAGGAAAGCAGGGGAGUCGCAAGACCUUGCGCUGAUUGAGCGGCCGAUAUCAGAUUAGCUAGUUGGUGAGGUAAAGGACUCACCAAGGCGACGAUCUGUAGCGGGUCGUGAGAGGAUGAUCCGCCACACUGGAACUGAGACACGGUCCAGACUCCUACGGGAGGCAGCAGUGGGGAAGUUUUGGUACAAUGGGCGGCAAGCCUGAUCCAGCCAUGCCGCGUGAGUGAAGAAGGCCUCGGUUGUAAG
rnacentral:rRNA from 1 species